CUGCAUGAGAGAAGUUUAUCAUUCUUCUGUCUUCCAAGGAGAAUGAAUAUUCCUUCAGUGCUAUAAUAUAAGGAGUUUUCAGGGCCACCAGCCUUGAAGUUAAGGUUGAGUGGUAGUAUAUUUCUUCUACAUAA